UUGGCGAGAAAGGGCGGGGAGCGAGCGGUGUGGGUGUGCUCGUGCCCGCGCGCUCGCGCCUGGAGUGUGGGUGGGGGCUCGUGCGUGCACGCGCAGGGGAGAGGCUAGUGUGGGCCGCCGUUGUCGGGUUCGACUGGAGAGGCGGGGGAGUCACCUGCGAGCGGCUGCGCUCGCCGCCGGUUGCGUCCGGAUCGCGCCGACUGCGCGGGGCCGCGGGCCGCUCACACCCUGGGAGGCCGGGGCAGGGGAGCUUGGCAGAGACCGAUCCCGGCGCCCGGGACGGGGAGUCGUACUCUUGUUGCUGCUGCCGCCGCCGCCGCCCGCGUCCCACCGGACUCUAAGCUCUGAAAGGAAAAGAAUAAUAUCUGGCCUCUAGAAUUUGCUGAAUAAGUGAAAUGAAUAAAAAGAGAAGCCAGUGAAAUUAAUAAAAUGAGAUACUGUAUUAAAUAUGGGACAAGAUGGAUUGAACACCGUCCAUUGUACUACUUGGUAAAUUGUUACCUUUCAGAAUGGAAAUUUUAUAAACAGUAGCAGGAGUUUUAAAUAUUCCUGCCUUUCGGCCCAGUAAUUUUACGUCUUGGAGUCUGUCCUAAAGAAAUCAUCUCUGCUAGGGGUAGGAAAACUUUUUUCCUACCUCUUCCUAUAUUCCCUCUUUUCCUUCUCAAGAAACAUAGAUGGUAAUCCAAUUAGUCCAUGUGUUCUUGUCCCCUUCUGCCGAACGAUGAGUAUGA
rnacentral:lncRNA from 1 species